GUGCCAGCAGCCGCGGUAAUACGGAGGGGGCGAGUGUUGUUCGGAAUUACUGGGCGUAAAGGGCGCGCAGGCGGCUUGGCAAGUCGAGUGUGAAAUACCUCAGCUUAACUGAGGAAUGGCGCUCGAAACUACCUCGCUAGAGGGCGGGAGAGGGAAGUGGAACUCUCGGUGUAGGGGUGAAAUCUGUAGAUAUCGAGAGGAACACCGGUGGCGAAGGCGGCUUCCUGGCCCGUACCUGACGCUGAGGCGCGAAAGCGUGGGGAGCAAACAGGAUUAGAUACCCCAGUAGUCC
rnacentral:rRNA from 1 species